AGAACGAACGCUGGCGGCAUGCCUAACACAUGCAAGUCGAACGAGACCUUCGGGUCUAGUGGCGCACGGGUGCGUAACGCGUGGGAAUCUGCCCUUGGGUUCGGGAUAACAGUUGGAAACGACUGCUAAUACCGGAUAAUGACUUCGGUCCAAAGAUUUAUUGCCCAGGGAUGAGCCCGCGUAGGAUUAGCUAGUUGGUGAGGUAAAGGCUCACCAAGGCGACGAUCCUUAGCUGGUCUGAGAGGAUGAUCAGCCACACUGGGACUGAGACACGGCCCAGACUCCUACGGGAGGCAGCAGUGGGGAAUAUUGGACAAUGGGCGAAAGCCUGAUCCAGCAAUGCCGCGUGAGUGAUGAAGGCCUUAGGUUGUAAAGCUCUUUACCCGGAUGAUAAUGACAGUACCGGAGAAUAAGCCCGCUAACUCCGUGCCAGCAGCCGAC
rnacentral:rRNA from 1 species